GUAUUCGUGAUUCAGUGGUAGAAUUCUUGCCUUCUGUGUGAGAGACCUGGGUUCGAUUCUUGGCCAAUUCA
rnacentral:tRNA from 1 species